rnacentral:lncRNA from 1 species
UAAAAAUACUAUAAACUAUUAUAAAAUCAUUAUUUUUAUAAAAAUAGUAAUGAUUUUUUUUCGAUCCUUUUGUUUUUUUUCCGACCAAUUUCGAUCCUUUUGUUAGAUCUAUAUUAAAUAGACCCAUAGAAAGAAUUAAAGAAAUAAACGGCAGAGGUAGAAUAUUAUUAAAUAUUUUGGUUUGGUGGUUAAUUAAUAUAGCUAAAACUAAAACCAUUGACUGAAGUUUGAGAGGGAAGACAAAGAGAAGCACCCCAACGUGUGAAACAAAAAGGCCUUCUUUUAUGGCCCACCUUAUGGAAAAUUAAAACCUCUUUGAAAACAACAUCAACGGGAAUUCCUCUAACUCUUCAUCUUCUUGUCUUGGGAACAAAACAAUCUCUUCUCUUUCUCUCUUUUUUCUCACUCUAAUAACUCUUUGUUUUUCUUUAUAAACUCAAACAUAUUGAUACCUUUUUGUGUUCUCAUCAAAGCAUUGAGGUCAUGGACAUGAAGAACAAGGAGAACGAGAAGACACUAUUGUUGGAUUUUGCUAAGAUUCAUUUUCAUUUGUUUGAUGAUGUUUGUUUGUGACUUUGUUUGUACGAGGUAAGGUUUUGAGUACUAGGAUCGGUGUUCGGUCUCAGUUGCGGUGAAGAAUUCAUCACUACCGGCGUACAUGGGAAAGCCAGGCUUUUUUUCAUUUUCAUAUUGUUAUUUAGUUUUUAUUAUAAACUAUAGUUUAUUUUAUUUGCAAUUUUCUUUUAUAUAUUGUGUUUGUUUGAUUAUAUGAGCUUAGAGAUUGGCAGGAAUAGUUACACAACACAUUGUAAACUGUUUUUACUAUGUCAAAGAUCAACAAAUUAAAAUAUUGAAAUAAAAUUUGUGGCUGGUUUUCCUAGUCCCUCUUCAUAUGCAUAUGCAUUUAUGAAUUAUAUUUUUUGUCUUUUUUUUAUUUAAUUUUUUUUUUAUUUGUUUU